GUGCUUGCUGCGGCAGCACAUACACUAAAAUUGGAAUGAUACAGAGAAGGUUAGCAUGACCCCUGCACAAGGAUGACACACAAGUGUUUGAAGCAUUCCAUAUUUUU